GACGGAGGAUGCAAGUGUUAUCCGGAAUCACUGGGCGUAAAGGGUCUGUAGGUGGUUUUCUAAGUCUGCUGUUAAAGCUUGAAGCUCAACUUCAAAAAUGCAUCAGAAACUAGAAGACUUGAGUAUGGUAGGGGUAGAGGGAAUUUCCAGUGAAGUGGUGAAAUGCGUAGAUAUUGGAAAGACCACCAAAGGCGAAGGCACUCUACUGGGCCACAACUGACACUGAGAGACGAAAGCUAGGGGAGCGAAUGGG
rnacentral:rRNA from 1 species